GACGAACGCUGGCGGCGUGCCUAAUACAUGCAAGUCGAACGCAGUGGGGACGGGUGAGUAACACGUGGGUAACCUCCCAUCAGAGGGGAUAACACUUGGAAACAGGUGCUAAACCGAUCCUUCAGGAUGGACCCGCGGUGCAUUAGCUAGUUGGUGAGGUAACGGCUCACCAAGGCCACGAUGACUAGCCGACCUGAGAGGGUGACAGGCCACACUGGAACUGAGACACGGCCCAGACGCCUACGGGAGGCAGCAGUAGGGAAUCUUCGGCAAUGGACGAAAGUCUGACCGAGCAACGCCGCGUGAGUGAAGAAGGUUUUCGGAUCGUAAAACUCUGGUGUUAGAGAAGCGGUAUCUAACCAGAAAGCCACGGCUAACUACGUGCCAGCAGCCGCGGUAAUUC
rnacentral:rRNA from 1 species